rnacentral:rRNA from 1 species
CCUACGGGUGGCAGCAGUGGGGAAUAUUGCACAAUGGGCGCAAGCCUGAUGCAGCCAUGCCGCGUGUGUGAAGAAGGCCUUCGGGUUGUAAAGCACUUUCAGCGGGGAGGAAGGCGGUGAGGUUAAUAACCUCAUCGAUUGACGUUACCCGCAGAAGAAGCACCGGCUAACUCCGUGCCAGCAGCCGCGGUAAUACGGAGGGUGCAAGCGUUAAGCGGAAUUACUGGGCGUAAAGCGCACGCAGGCGGUCUGUCAAGUCGGAUGUGAAAUCCCCGGGCUCAACCUGGGAACUGCAUUCGAAACUGGCAGGCUAGAGUCUUGUAGAGGGGGGUAGAAUUCCAGGUGUAGCGGUGAAAUGCGUAGAGAUCUGGAGGAAUACCGGUGGCGAAGGCGGCCCCCUGGACAAAGACUGACGCUCAGGUGCGAAAGCGUGGGGAGCAAACAGGAUUAGAUACCCGAGUAGUC